AACGAACGCUGGCGGCGUGGAUUAGGCAUGCAAGUCGAACGAGAAAGCUCCCUUCGGGGAGUGAGUAAAGUGGCGAACGGGUGAGUAACGCGUGGGAAACCUGCCCUAGAGUGGGGGAUAACAGCUCUAACGGGCUGCUAAUACCGCAUGAUGCAGUGAGUCGCCUGUCUCACUGUUAAAGGAGGCCUCUUCUUGAAAGCUUCCGCUUAAGGAUGGUCCCGCGUCCUAUUAGCUUGUUGGUGGGUAACGGCCUACCAAGGCGACGAUGGGUAGCCGGCCUGAGAGGGUGGUCGGCCACACUGGGACUGAGAUACGGCCCAGACUCCUACGGGAGGCAGCAGUCGAGAAGCUUCGGCAAUGGGGGAAACCCUGACCGAGCGACGCCGCGUGGGUGAUGAAGGUUUUCGGAUCGUAAAGCUCUGUUGUUAGGGAAGAACAAGUGCCGUUCGAAUAGGGCGGCACCUUGACGGUACCUAACCAGAAAGCCACGGCUAACUACGUG
rnacentral:rRNA from 1 species